UAGUAUUUGGGAAAAUGGAACUUUUGAAGGAUGCAAAUCACUCAGAUCAUUAUAUUUGAAUAAAAAUAGUAUCUCAAAAAUGGAGGCAAAUGCAUUCACACCUAUGCAAGAAAAUGAACCAACUUUGUCAAAUCUGCAAAUUCGUGUCUUUAUCGCACAACAAAUUAACUUAAAUUGAUUUUACUGUAUUUUACAAAACGUCUACAUCAACUCUAUCUAUCAUGGAUAAUCGUAUCGAAAAAGUAGAAAAUCCUUCGGCUAGAGGACUGCCGAAAUUGCGAAGAUUAUAUUUAGACAAUAACAAAAUACAACAUUUACCAAACACUACUUUUUUUGGAUUUUCAUCGUUAAUAGAAUUAUCGUUAGAUAAGAAUGAAAUAAUUCAACUACAGCCAAGUGUAAUUGUCCACUUCGAAAGGUAACGUCUGUCAGUUUAGACCGAAAAAAAUACAAACAUUGUCACAUAGUGCAUUCUAUGGAGUUACGGUACCUUUCUUUAGACUAUAACAGAAUAUCUACCCUCAAGUGUAACAAUAAUGUACCUAAGUAAUAACAUGAUAAGGAAUAUGGAAAAUCUUUCUUUAAAAAAGUUUAAAUCUUUGAAAAGAUUAGACCUUAGCAGUAAUCAUAUCAAAAGUCUUCGAUCUGGCAUGUUUGCAGGUUUACCACACUUGGACUAUUCAAAUCUCAGUGACAAUAAAGUACAAUAUAUUGACAACACGAACAUUUUCGGACUUAAAGUCAUUGAAAGACGUUUUUUGAAUAACAAUAAAAUUGUUCAUCAUAAAUUUAAAUAAUAACAACAUCAAACAUAUAUAUAAUGGAACAUUCGAUCAGUUGAAAAACCUUCGUUAUUUGUAUAUAAGUAAUAAUGGGCUAGAGCGUGUGAAAGAACUAGGAUUUGCAGGUUUAGUUUCGUUGGACAUAUUGAAUCUUUCUGGUAACAGACUAGAAGACUUACAUUUGAAAGUAUUUUCAAAUUUAAUAAACUUGGAAUAUUUAUUUUUAAGCAAAAACCUGCUAAGCAAACUUCCAAAUGGAAUAUUUGCUAACUUUAGACGCUUAAAUGGUCUGCAUCUCGAUCAUAACCAGUUUUUUUUUCUAAACAGACUGACAAUACUCAACCUAUCCAGCAAUCAGAUUAGCAAUGUUUCAGUAAGAGCUUUUCACAACGUGCAGCCAUUAACCAAACUUUUAUUGGCCAAUAAUUCUUUACACUCAUUGAACCCUGACAUAACAGACUACCUUCGUGCUGGUCUACUAUUUGACAUUCAAUACAACAACUUAAGCUGCGAUUGUAAAUUUGCUAAAUUUGUGGAAAAUUACCAGGUGGAAGUGUUUUUCUAAGUAGAUGUGUCAGUCCUAAUCAGACAGCCUAUAGUUUAAAAAUCCCAAACUUUGACGAGGACAAAGUGUGCAAAAAUAACGCAGGUGUGGCUCUCAAGAAAAUCAGUACAACUGCGUUUGUACGUCAUCAUAUCAUGGGAAGUUUUGUGAAAACCCAAAGCAGUUAGAAGGGAAUGAAACAAUAAAGUGGAUUAUCAUCGGAUUGGUUACAGUGUUUGUCUGUAUUUUACUGAUUGAUCUUCUAAUCUAUGCAUACAUAGUCAAAGAAAGUAGACAAAGAAAUAGUGUUAUGCAAAAUAUGCUUUCUUCAGACACUGACAUUAUGUUCUUUUAUAUAUAGAAUGAACAAUCUGCAGCCAGCUCAGGUAGAAACCAUUAUCACACAGAUUAUGGAAAAGAAAUGGCAGCAAUUCCAAAGAUUGGGUAGCUAGAGAAACACAACAGACAAACCAACACACACGGAUCAAGAGUGAAGACGGGUCUCAAGAUUAUGUGUUAAUGAGAUGACAAAUAAUGCUUGUGCUGAAGAUGAAAUUCAAGAGUAAUGCACAAAAUUAACUUUGAUUUAUUUAGUAAUAAUAUUUUAUUAUAAUAACUUUAGGGCACAACAUAUCAAUCAUACAAUAUUGGUAAUUGGAAUUCAAAAUAACUUAAGCAGAUGUGGCGAAGAUCUGUUUUUAGUUCAAUGGUCAUAAAAUAAAAAAUGUAAAAAUCACAUUUGAAGUACUUAGCAUUUUGGACAGACCAUAGAAAUACAAAGAUAAAAGACAGAAUAACAACUCCUCAGGAUCUCUUGUACUUGCAAAAUGGCUUUCCUGGUAGUUCCAGGUCUCACAAUGAAAACAACAAUUGCGGAAUAGAGUGUCAACAAAAUUAAAAAUGAUUAUUUAGAAUUUUAUUGCCCACUGUUGUAUGCCUCAAAUUCUUACCUAACACACGUUCAAAACAAGUGAAUUUUUUCUGCAUGGUUUUCGUUAAUUAAAAUAUAUCACUGCUAACAAAGAAAUUAAGAACUAUGAAAGGUUAAAGUUUAACAGGCCAUGCGUAUCAGAAAGUUGAAAGAAGGUGGUGCAUUGUCUUCAUUUGUACUACCCUUCACGCGCAAUUUUGUGUGUAACUUUUAAGUUUUGCCCAAAAGUUUUGUUGCGCAAAUUCGUGGAAAUUGUUAUACGUGAAAAUUAGUAAAAAUAAGGUAAAUAACGAUAAACUAUUUAUAGUUGCCACUAUGACUUUAUGUGUGUUUAUCUCUUUUUUUUAAGAUGAGAGUUUCAAACAGGUCAAUUAUAGAAAAUAUAAUAGAAAAUAUAUUAGACCGUUGUUAUUCUGUCAUUUUAUAUUUCUACGGACUGACCAAAAUUUAUUUUUUAAUUAUUAUUAAUUUUUAAUAUUUUAAUUGUUUAUUAAACAUGCAGUUAUUAAUCCUUGCCAAUGAGAUUUAUGAGGGUUGCGUCAACCUUGUGCAUAAAGGUGCUGGGGUGGAGCUUGGUCUUGGGUGGCAUUUUAAUAUCCCUGUUACUAAAAUGUUAUGUUUAAUGUUGCAUCAUAUGCAAUUUUUUUGUAACGCGCCUUCUUGGGCUAACAUUGAUUUAUGUAAAAUCAAAAUCUUGUGCAAUUUUUCGGGUUUAUUUUUGUUUAUAUUUAUUUGUUUUUUUUGUUUUGUAUUAUUAUUACAAUAUUAAUGGAUUAUUUAAUAUGAAAACAAGUAUUUUUGUUUUAUUGACGCAUGCGCAGAUUUGCUAGAACAAUGAAGCCUAUUCAUCCUGAGUUUUUUUGGGGCUU